GAUGAACGCUGACAGAAUGCUUAACACAUGCAAGUCAACUUGAAUUUGGGUUUUUAACUUAGGUUUGGGUGGCGGACGGGUGAGUAACGCGUAAAGAACUUGCCUCACAGCUAGGGACAACAUUUGGAAACGAAUGCUAAUACCUAAUAUUAUGAUAAUAGGGCAUCCUAUAAUUAUGAAAGCUAUAAGCGCUGUGAGAGAGCUUUGCGUCCCAUUAGCUAGUUGGAGAGGUAACGGCUCACCAAGGCGAUGAUGGGUAGCCGGCCUGAGAGGGUGAUCGGCCACAAGGGGACUGAGACACGGCCCUUACUCAUACGGGAGGCAGCAGUGGGGAAUAUUGGACAAUGGACCAAGAGUCUGAUCAAGCAAUUCUGUGUGCACGAUGAAGUUUUUAGGAAUGUAAAGUGCUUUCAGUUGGGAAGAAAGAAAUGACGGUACCAACAGAAGAAGUGACGGCUAAAUACGUG
rnacentral:rRNA from 1 species